CGUUGAUUACGUCCCUGCCCUUUGUACACACCGCCCGUCGCUACUACCGAUUGAAUGGCUCAGUGAGGCUUUCGGACUGGCCCAGGGAGGUCGGCAACGACCACCCAGGGCCGGAAAGUUAUCCAAACUCGGUCAUUUAGAGGAAGUAAAAGUCGUAACAAGG
rnacentral:rRNA from 1 species